GUUUGGGGAAUAAUAGAGAUUUCUCCAAUCAUUUUUUUUUUCUGAAGAUAUUCUGAAGUUUCUUUUUCUCUUUAUUUUCAUUUUCAAAUUUUCAGCCUGGCUGUUUCCUAUAUCUGCAAAGUAGCAUUGGAAAGACCCAAUAGCUACUAAGGGCCUGUGAAACCAAACUCACAGCCCUGAGUCUUAAAAUCCUCAGGACAGCAUUCAGCAAUGCAAAGCAUGAGACUAUUACUUCUUAUAUUUGCACAUCAUCAUCACCUAAUUGAAACUGUAGCUGAAGGAGGGGGAGGGAAAACCACAGAGCUGACUUCAUGUGGUUACCAGAGAACAUUUUUAAUUGCCUUUAUGUGGAUAAUACUAUUUUUUCAUUAAUGCUUCCAGGACAGAUUAAGGGGACGGCUCGACACUGUACGCGCCAUUCACACAGCGUGGCAUGUUGGUGGCAUGAACAGACGUUUGGGCACCAAUGCAAUCCAUAUCACUCCAACUGUCCUGAGAUAUAACAAAAAAAAAAAAAAAAUCUGAGCAAGAUACCAAAAAUUUGAAAGAACAUGGCCUGUGAGUUUUUCUACUGCUUCUCCUGGGGGAUUUUGUACCAGGUAAAUAAUAAAAAAUGUGUAAUGAUUGACUAGGCUUUUAAGCCUCAGCUGAAGGUAAGUUUGCCUUGCUGUUCCAGUUAAAUAUUCUCACUAGCCCCCUUCUCUUUCUCCAGUUGAUCAUGCCACAAAGCCCCCUUCAGCCUGAUUCAUUCUUUAUUCUUUAGAAAUUUGGGCAACAGUCAAAUCUGACCUUUAGAGUCAUAAACAAAUUAAAUUGUUUCACAACCAAAUAAUACAAAACAAUAUUGAAUAGCUAGACUUCCGCUGAGUUUCCUCUUAAAGAGAAAGAAGCCCCGAAACAGCACAGACAUGGGAGAUAGAGGAAGAUAGGUGGAGGACAAGGCGUGCUGAUACUCUGCAUGGCAACGAGAUGGUGAAGCACCGGGGUCUGGCUCCAGACUGACAGGUAUCGGCACUUUGGAAGAUGCUGUGAGAAGUGUUUAUUAAUUAUUUACCUUUCUGGGAGCGGAGUGCUCCCCAAAAGGCAUACCCCACUGCAAGCCUGUUGCUGCAGAGUCACCGGUGCCAGCAGCACCCUGCGCUCUGGCGACGGUUCAAGGUGAAACCCAAAGGUGGCCGAAGUGGCCUUGGUGCCGCCGGGUUGGAAACCGUUUCUCCUCUCCCCUCUGUUUGCCUGAACUUUGGCUGCGUGCGGCCCGGCCUCCCUGCACCCGCUGCUGCCACACGCGGUCCCGCUGACACGGGCGAGGGGCAGGGCGGUGUCACCCGCCGAGGGCUCUGCGGGGACAUCCUUGGGCGCAGGGCUGUUCCCUUCCCCUCGGCUUGGGUGCGUGCCUGGAGGCUGCCAGCCGGGGAGGUGGCGAGCCGUGAGCCCUCUUUGGCGAGAUGUGGUGGGGUUCAGCACAUUUGUGGAGUGUUGCUGGAAUGUGAAGCAUCUGGGGCAGAUGUGGAGACGUGAUAAGGCUCCUUGUUGUCCUUAAAAACACUAUGAAGUGGCCAGGUAGGGAUUCCCCUGGAAAAGGGGGAUUCCCUGCCUGGCACCCAGCUGGGUCCAGUUGCCAUCGACGCUCUGGGACCAUAGAAUGAAUCCCAGCCUCGGGCCCCUGGGGAGAUCCCCAGUGCCCCCCCCUCUGCUGUGGGUGGCAGGGUGACACCUGGGCACCUGCUCACCCCAUCCCCUUUGCAAGGGGACACCCCAGCUGGGGACAGGACACCCCUCCUCCCUCGCCUGCGCAGUCAGUGAUGCAGUUUUUGCAUAAAAGCACCAGACAGGGAAAGAAACAGAACAAUAAACCAGCCAGCUGCGCGGCCUAGCAGCUCUAUUGGGAACUUGCUCCUGCGCCGUGGCCAGCCCCUUGGCACGACGCCGGCCCAUCCGCAGGGCACCAGCACCGGGAGCCCCCAGGGACGGUGUGUUUCUGUGCCACGCCAGCACUGAGCCUGGGGAAAUUCACUGUCCUGGGCCCAGCUGCACGGGGCAGCUGCGGGCGGGAGAAGGGGUCGCGGGCUGGGCGCCAGGGACACGCGCCGCGCCGGUACGACCCGCGCUUAAACAGCGACGCUCUGACAACGGUGUGCCCGCUUACGCUUAAUAUAAAGAGACCCCAAACCGCCAUUAAUUCUUCCCGUACGUCAUGUCACAAGCAACGAUCAGUUUAUAUCAGACGUACAAACAGCACCCAGAGCUGCAGCUUUUCUCCCAGGCUGGACACUCGGCUACAGAUGUGCUGUGGACAACCGUCCAUGGCCCGAACUGCCGUUACUGUCACUGGUAUGCAAAGCCUUUAAUUAUCUAUGGAGCCCAACAGAUGUGAAGCACAUUUAGAUGCUUUAAUUAACUUGAAGAAUUAUGAAGUCGUGCCUGUAACUGAAAUACAGUUUUGCCUUUUGUAAACCAUUUGACAUAAGAAUGAUGAGGCUAAGAAUUAGAUAUAAGAAUACAUGUAAAUAUUUAUACUACAUUCAUUACAGCAGUAUCUGAGCGUAUGUUUAUGUUGUAACCUCCACUUCUACAACUGUUAAUUUUGCUUUGCUGUAUAACCCCCUGCGCUGCCUAUUGCGUGGUGCCACGGGCACCCUCCUGCAGGGACUGCUUGGGUCUGGGACAAUUCACGUAAAAUCCCUUUCUCUGGGCAAUAUAUUUCCCAUGCUCUCAGUGCAAGACUUGCUGAGGCUUCAAAACCAGGACACUGGAUGGAGAAGACUGCUGACCUAAACCAGGCUGACAACCCCUACCUUGUAUAGCCCCAACAAACUAAACCACCUCAUGUCAUAUUUCAAAGUCCUCUGAAACAGAGAUCCAGCCACCUCAUUUCACUACGGCAAGAAAAUUCUGUGGCAGGGAUCCAGUAGCUGCUGUCAUCAAAAUGCUGACAGAAACUGAGGUUAAGGGUACUAAAUGUUUCGCUGUUAACAGAGCCAAUGCAAUGUGGUUUUUUGAAGAUGGCGAAAGGAGGACUGAGGACUGCUGGUGAUGGUGCUGAGAUACAUGCAAAGCUGUGAAAAUAACUUUGAAUAAGAUUUUAGAAGUCUUCUAACUAAAUAAAAUACAUGUGUAUUUCAAUCUAAUGUUUUGUUCUAGCUUUAAUGAUUUUUUUUUUCAUUGAAAAUAUUAGCCAAUAGAGUGAAAAAAACUAAUUUGGGGAAAAAAUGUCAAAAGGCUUGAUUUUGAAAAGUUCAAAACAGAACUUGUUGUGCCUUGGCAUUUUCCUCCUACAUUUUCUAGUAAAUAAACUGUUUAUCCAAAA